rnacentral:rRNA from 1 species
UGGGGAAUUUUGCGCAAUGGGGGAAACCCUGACGCAGCAACGCCGCGUGAGUGAUGAAGGCCUUCGGGUCGUAAAUCUCUGUCAGAGGGGAAGAAAUGCAGGGGUGCUAAUAUCAUCUUUGCUUGACGGUACCCUCAAAGGAAGCACCGGCUAACUCCGUGCCAGCAGCCGCGGUAAUACGGAGGGUGCGAGCGUUGUUCGGUAUUUUUGGGCGUAACGCGCGCGUAGGCGGUUUGGUAAGUCUGAUGUGAAAGCACCGUGCUCAACCUAGGAAGUGCAUUGGAAACUGUCAACCUUGAAUAAGGGAAAGAGUAGUGGACUUCCUAGUGUAGGAGUGAAAUCCGUAGAUAUUAGGAGGAAAACCGGUGGCGAAGGCGGCUACCUGGACCGAU